CGGCGUCACGAGUGGCAAUCACGUUUAUUGGGUCUAAAGCGUUCGUAGCCGGUUUAGUAAAUCUUUUGUGAAAUUGUCGGGCUUAACUCGACAACGUGCAGAGGACACUGCUAAACUAGAGACCGGGAGGGGUCAGAAGUAUUUCAGGGGGAGCGGUAAAAUGUUAUAAUCCCUGAAGGACUACCAAUGGCGAAGGCAUCUGACCAGAACGGAUCUGACGGUGAGGAACGAAGGCUAGGGGAGCGAACCGGAUUAGAUACCCGCGUAGUCC
rnacentral:rRNA from 1 species